GAUGAACGCUGGCGGCGUGCCUAAUACAUGCAAGUCGAGCGAACAGACGAGGAGCUUGCUCCUCUGACGUUAGCGGCGGACGGGUGAGUAACACGUGGAUAACCUACCUAUAAGACUGGGAUAACUUCGGGAAACCGGAGCUAAUACCGGAUAAUAUAUUGAACCGCAUGGUUCAAUAGUGAAAGACGGUUUUGCUGUCACUUAUAGAUGGAUCCGCGCCGCAUUAGCUAGUUGGUAAGGUAACGGCUUACCAAGGCGACGAUGCGUAGCGGACCUGAGAGGGUGAUCGGCCACACUGGAACUGAGACACGGUCCAGACUCCUACGGUAGGCAGCAGUAGGGAAUCUUCCGCAAUGGGCGAAAGCCUGACGGAGCAACGCCGCGUGAGUGAUGAAGGUCUUCGGAUCGUAAAACUCUGUUAUUAGGGAAGAACAAAUGUGUAAGUAACUAUGCACGUCUUGACGGUACCUAAUCAGAAAGCCACGGCUAACUACGUG
rnacentral:rRNA from 1 species